rnacentral:rRNA from 1 species
AUGAACCGUGCCGGCAGGCUGGCCCUUGUCAAGUCUGUCCUACGCGCUAUCCCGGUGCACCAGCUCUUGGCUUUCGCCCCUCCGAAGAAGACGCUGCAGCAGCUCGCGAAGAUUCAGCGAGGCUUCUUCUGGGCUGGGCGAGCCGCCGCCAAUGGUGGGCACUGCCACGUGAACUGGCGUCAUGUCACUCGCCCCCUUGCUCUGGGCGGCCUCGGGGUCCGCGGCCUGGAGCGAGCCGGCCUCGCGCUCAGACUGAGGUGGCUUUGGCUCUCGCGCCUGGCAAGGGGCGCUCGGUGGGCGAGCUAA